UGUCACACUGCCGAGAAAAGCUUCUAGUUAGAAAACAACGGCCCGUACCGUAAACCGACACAGGUAGUCGAGGAGAGUAUCCUAAGGUGUGCGAGAGAACUCUCGUUAAGGAACUCGGCAAAAUGACCCCGUAACUUCGGGAGAAGGGGUGCUGUUCGCAAGAACAGCCGCAGUGAAUAGGCCCAAGCGACUGUUUAUCAAAAACACAGGUCUCUGCAAAAUCGAAAGAUGAAGUAUAGGGGCUGACGCCUGCCCGGUGCUGGAAGGUUAAGAGGAGUGCUUAGCGCAAGCGAAGGUACGAAUUGAAGCCCCAGUAAACGGCGGCCGUAACAAUAACGGUCCUAAGGUAGCGAAAUUCCUUGUCGGGUAAGUUCCGACCCGCACGAAAGGCGUAACGAUUUGGGCACUGUCUCAACGAGAGACUCGGUGAAAUUUUAGUACCUGUGAAGAUGCAGGUUACCCGCGACAGGACGGAAAGACCCCAUGGAGCUUUACUGUAAUUUGAUAUUGAGUGUCUGUACCGCAUGUACAGGAUAGGUAGGAGCCGUAGAGAUCGGGACGCUAGUUUCGAUGGAGGCAAUGGUGGGAUACUACCCUUGCGUUAUGGCCACUCUAACCCGCAUCACUAAUCGUGAUGUGAGACAGUGUCAGAUGGGCAGUUUGACUGGGGCGGUCGCCUCCUAAAAGGUAACGGAGGCGCCCAAAGGUUCCCUCAGAAUGGUUGGAAAUCAUUCGUAGAGUGCAAAGGCAAAAGGGAGCUUGACUGCGAGAGCUACAACUCGAGCAGGGACGAAAGUCGGGCUUAGUGAUCCGGUGGUUCCGCAUGGAAGGGCCAUCGCUCAACGGAUAAAAGCUACCCUGGGGAUAACAGGCUUAUCUCCCCCAAGAGUCCACAUCGACGGGGAGGUUUGGCACCUCGAUGUCGGCUCGUCGCAUCCUGGGGCUGUAGUCGGUCCCAAGGGUUGGGCUGUUCGCCCAUUAAAGCGGCACGCGAGCUGGGUUCAGAACGUCGUGAGACAGUUCGGUCCCUAUCCGUCGCGGGCGUUGGAAAUUUGAGAGGAGCUGUCCUUAGUACGAGAGGACCGGGAUGGACUUACCGCUGGUGUACCAGUUGUCUCGCCAGAGGCAUCGCUGGGUAGCUAUGUAGGGAAGGGAUAAACGCUGAAAGCAUCUAAGUGUGAAGCCCACCUCAAGAUGAGAUUUCCCAUUUCUUUAAGAAAGUAAGAUCCCUGAGAGAUGAUCAGGUAGAUAGGUCAGGAGUGGAAGUGCAGCGAUGUACGGAGCGGACUGAUACUAAUCGAUCGAGGACUUAACC
rnacentral:rRNA from 1 species